GUAUGAGAUUACAGGAAUGGGCCACAUAUCCAACUCAGUCCUUCCAAAAGACACUUUUCAAAACUAAAAUAUCUGGGAAGGCGAUGCUGGGGCGAGAGAGGGAUUACCAGACAUAACCGCUGUGUUAAGCUACGUGAGUACUCGCAGGAAGUACUUACUAUUACUAUUGGUUCCUGGGCAGCAACACUGUAACUGUAACACUGAACUGUAACAGAGGCUGGGCCCCACGGCCAUUCUUAUCUGGAGACUUUGUGGAUCCCCGAAGCGUGGCUCCCACCCCCCAACCUCCACAGCCUCCUGAGGCUCUGUGCACAUCCCAUGCCUAGCUCCAAGUGCAAUGUCACUCUUUAGAAAGGCUCUCAGAAUGAGAAGUAAAGCAUGAGUAUGUCUGUUGGCA